AAAGCGCACGGUAGCCGUUGGACAAUCAGACACCACCAUUUUUCCUCAUUUUUCAAAUCUACGAUUCGAUUCAAUUUCGCUGAAAGCCCCAAAAGUCUUCCUUUCUCCUAAAGACGGAAGAAAGCUUUCCUUUUUCCCAUUCCCCUUUCGAUCGCCAAACCCUAGCUAAUUCUCUCUCUGAUCGAAAAUUUCAUAGCUUUUGAGUUUGAUUUCGCUAAUCGAGUCGGGCUUCGUCAGGAUAUACAAAAUCACUGAGGUUUGGGAAGAGUGAAAAAUGAUGGCACUCACCCCUGAUCACACUAGGAAAGUUGGGAUGGGGGUGUCACCAUCCCCUUCUCCUUUUCUUACUCCUCGUCCCGAAAGGCGGCGCAAAACUCUUGAGUACAAUCUAAAUCGACAGGACAAGGAUAAAGAGGUUAACGUGCAAGUUUUGCUGAGAUGCAGGCCAUUAAGUGAUGAAGA